AAAAAUCUUACUUCACUGCAAUGGGUACAUUCAUUUUUUAAUGAAAAUUUUUAAAUUGAUGGAAAAUUUAAAGAUCAAAUACUAAUGUUACUAGGUCAAUAAAGCUUGAAUUGUGCAAUUAAGAAAAAAGGAGAGUAUCAGAAACUUAUAAACAGUUAAGGUGAUGAAUUCUAAAGUUACGGUAAACUAACCAAUGCCACGUCAUGCAGACUUGAGCAGGAAUUAUAAGCUUUUUAUAUACUGCUAAGAAAAAGAAAUAUUUCUUGUUUAACAUCCAGUUGCCAUACCUAAAGAAAACAUUUCUCUUUGAUGUAUUCACUAGAUUAAUUGCUGCAUUUGGUUUAGUAAGAAAUUUUGUAUGCCAAGGGAAAAUAAUAAAUUGAUAAAUAUGUACAUACUUGAA